rnacentral:lncRNA from 1 species
UGUGGCUUGGCUCUGGUGUGGCUGUGGCUGUGGCCUAGGCCAGCAGCUGCAGUUCUGAUUCAGCCCCUAGUCUGGGAACUUCCUUAUGCUGCAGGGGCGGCCCUAAAAAGAAACACAGAACGUGUUCACGGGGCCCUCUUCCCAUCUUCUCCAGGGACAUUGGAGCCAGGAAGGCUCCAAUCAGCACAUGCAAAUCCUGAAUGGAUCAGGAGAUAGACCUUGGGACCUGGCCCUGGGCUUGGGGCCAGAUGGGGCCCUCAGCCAGGUGCUGAAAUAAAGAGCAGGACCCAGGGGUGAGGAAGUUUGUGCAGGCGGAGCCCAGUAGGACAGGACCCCUCAUGGAUGCCCGUGCCCAGGGCCUCUGAGGCCAGGGGAGAGCUGCUUCUCCUGGGGCAGCCGGGGCAGACACUGAUGGUGUCUACACAGCAAACAUUGCUCAGUUUUCCCUUCCUAACAGAAACCGAGUUUUGUGUGAGUGGUUGUGGUCCAGCCCUGGGGCUGGAGGCUGCAUGGAGUGAGGAAGAUUAAGUUUGGGUUAACGCAGUGCAGCAUUCUCUUGUCGGUGAAUGCAGUUCUUCAUUGACUGGCCUGCCUUUAUUUCACUUCCAAUUUUCUUCCUCUUNCCGCCCCCCCAUUCCAGGACUCACCGAAGCACAGGAGGGUGGUGGGAUGGGGGGCCAUGGCCCAGCCCCUGCAGCCGGUGCCCGUCCUGGAGAGAUUAUGGGGGAAGGACAGAGCCUGCCUGAUGACACAAGAGAAGAGGAUGUGCUGCCCGGGGGCCCAACUUGGGGUUUCCACACUCAGCGCCUCACACAAAGGGGAAGAGCUUGUGCCCUCCUCUCCCGGCUUCCCGCGCAGGAGACAGAGGCAGGGCCGCACUUCCAGCAGAUGCUCCAAUGCUCAGGACACCCCAAGAAGGGCAGUCAGCCACAAGCCAGGAGGAGACGGUGCCCCCCUGCCCUCGGUCUUGGAACCUGUUUGUUCCUGGUGGGUCUUGGACUGAAGAGCAUCAGCCUCGGCCAUCAUUUGAGGCUGAAGAAGGGAUGCAGGGAUUGUUGGUGGACAGAGAGGAGAAGGAGGAAGGGGACUCCCCAAGGAUUCCCAUGAGAUGAAGAGAUACCCGCUGAGUGUCUGGCACCACAUGGGAAGCUGA